GUGCUCUCAGUCCCUGACCGACUCAGAUGCAGAUGGCAGCAGCGCAGCCACAGGAAGUGGGACGCAGCCUGUGGCCUCCGAGAUUGGCUUCUCUGUGUCCUCCUUGCUGUGGACCCCGUGACGCCACAGAUUCUAGGUCUGUCAAAGAAAGUGAAGACCUAGACAUCAGAUGUCACUGUGGACAGAAGGAGACAUAGACCCCUGAGUUGAGGUUUUCAAAUACAAGUUAAUAGGCAUUCAGAAGUUGCUAAGUGGCACAUAAGCAGUGAUUCCAUAAAUCUCUGAAGUACAGUAUUGGCUUGGUGACAUGAUGCCUUUAUUCCCUCAUUGAAUAGUUCCACAGAGAUAAAGAACUGAGCUCAAACAAUGCAGCUGCUCAAGUUCAAGUAAAGUUUUGUUUUUUUUUGUCUCUUUUUGAAAUUCUCUAUUGACAGGAGUCUCGUCAGUUUCUCCCUUCAAGCCCAGUAGCACAAUGAAGAGGAUAAGAGUACUCAGUGGAUGCUCAGUAAAUGUUUUUUUGAAUGACUAAAUGAAUGAAGGCAAGAACUGGUACUAUGAAAGAAUAAUAAUAAUCAUCAUCAUCAUCUUA
rnacentral:lncRNA from 10 species